rnacentral:rRNA from 1 species
UACGGGGGGAGCAAGCGUUGUUCGGAUUUACUGGGCGUAAAGGGCGCGUAGGCGGCCACCGCAAGUCGGUUGUGAAAUCUCUGGGCUUAACCCAGAAAGGUCAACCGAUACUGCGGGGCUAGAGUGCAGAAGGGGCAACUGGAAUUCUCGGUGUAGCGGUGAAAUGCGUAGAUAUCGAGAGGAACACCCGUAGCGAAGGCGGCACUCUGGGCCGGAACUGACGCUGAGGAGCGAAAAGCGUGGGGAGCGAACAGG